ensembl:ncRNA C33A11.5 ncRNA
AGAACUGAAUAAGAAUACAACCAGGAAGUAAAAAACGCCGGCGACGGCCCUGUAGUGCAGAAAUAACACGGUUCGAUUCGACCUCGAGAAA